AGCCCACGUCAGGGGCUCCGGUGAGACGCUAAGCGUGAUGUCACUCAAAGACCUGCUCGAGGGCGGGUCAGUGGACAAUUAGCCGAGCUCGUGUGGGAAAGGGGCGGGGCGCGGAGUUGCCGGGCUGGCCUGAAAGUGGUCCAGGGAUUUCCAGGAGAGGGAGGCCUGUCCUGCUCUUCAAGAGAAGCCACUGGGACCUUCUGCCAUGGAGAUGCAGUGAGGGGGAAGCCUUCAGGAAGAGGUAGAAUUGUAGCCCACCUAAAGGUGACAAAGAAGAGGGAGUUGUUAUUGUACGGAUUUACUGCUUAGGACCACUUCACAGAUCACAACAAAAUGGGGCCUACUGUCUACACUGCAGGUUAGCUGCACCAUGAAGAAUAUUUGAAGAGCAUUCAUAUGAAAGUCUUUCAUAAAUACAUGCUACAA